rnacentral:rRNA from 1 species
AGAGUUUGAUCCUGGCUCAGGAUGAACGCUAGCGACAGGCUUAACACAUGCAAGUCGAGGGGCAGCAUGAUUUGUAGCAAUACAGAUUGAUGGCGACCGGCGCACGGGUGAGUAACGCGUAUGCAACUUACCUAUCAGAGGGGGAUAACCCGGCGAAAGUCGGACUAAUACCGCAUGAAGCAGGGGUCCCGCAUGGGGAUAUUUGCUAAAGAUUCAUCGCUGAUAGAUAGGCAUGCGUUCCAUUAGGCAGUUGGCGGGGUAACGGCCCACCAAACCGACGAUGGAUAGGGGUUCUGAGAGGAAGGUCCCCCACAUUGGUACUGAGACACGGACCAAACUCCUACGGGAGGCAGCAGUGAGGAAUAUUGGUCAAUGGACGCAAGUCUGAACCAGCCAUGCCGCGUGCAGGAAGACGGCUCUAUGAGUUGUAAACUGCUUUUGUACGAGGGUAAACGCUCUUACGUGUAAGAGCCUGAAAGUAUCGUACGAAUAAGGAUCGGCUAACUCCGUGCCAGCAGCCGCGGUAAUACGGAGGAUCCAAGCGUUAUCCGGAUUUAUUGGGUUUAAAGGGUGCGUAGGCGGUUUGAUAAGUUAGAGGUGAAAUACCGGUGCUUAACACCGGAACUGCCUCUAAUACUGUUGAACUAGAGAGUAGUUGCGGUAGGCGGAAUGUAUGGUGUAGCGGUGAAAUGCUUAGAGAUCAUACAGAACACCGAUUGCGAAGGCAGCUUACCAAACUAUAUCUGACGUUGAGGCACGAAAGCGUGGGGAGCAAACAGGAUUAGAUACCCUGGUAGUCCACGCAGUAAACGAUGAUAACUCGCUGUCGGCGAUACACAGUCGGCGGCUAAGCGAAAGCGAUAAGUUAUCCACCUGGGGAGUACGUUCGCAAGAAUGAAACUCAAAGGAAUUGACGGGGGCCCGCACAAGCGGAGGAACAUGUG